rnacentral:rRNA from 1 species
GGUGAGCAUGUGGUUUAAUUCGAAGCUACGCGAAGAACCUUACCAGGUCUUGACAUACUAUGCAAAUCUAAGAGAUUAGACGUUCCCUUCGGGGACAUGGAUACAGGUGGUGCAUGGUUGUCGUCAGCUCGUGUCGUGAGAUGUUGGGUUAAGUCCCGCAACGAGCGCAACCCUUAUUAUCAGUUGCCAGCAUUAAGUUGGGCACUCUGGUGAGACUGCCGGUGACAAACCGGAGGAAGGUGGGGAUGACGUCAAAUCAUCAUGCCCCUUAUGACCUGGGCUACACACGUGCUACAAUGGAUGGUACAACGAGUUGCGAACUCGCGAGAGUAAGCUAAUCUCUUAAAGCCAUUCUCAGUUCGGAUUGUAGGCUGCAACUCGCCUACAUGAAGUCGGAAUCGCUAAUAAUU